rnacentral:rRNA from 1 species
UCGAGCGGAACGAUCCUAGCUUGCUAGGAGGCGUCGAGCGGCGGACGGGUGANUAAUGCAUAGGAAUCUGCCCGGUAGUGGGGGAUAACUUGAGGAAACUCAAGCUAAUACCGCAUACGCCCUACGGGGGAAAGCAGGGGCUCUUCGGACCUUGCGCUAUCGGAUGAGCUUAUGUCGGAUUAGCUGGUUGGUGAGGUAACGGCUCACCAAGGCGACGAUCCGUAGCUGGUCUGAGAGGAUGAUCAGCCACAUCGGGACUGAGACACGGCCCGAACUCCUACGGGAGGCAGCAGUGGGGAAUAUUGGACAAUGGGGGCAACCCUGAUCCAGCCAUGCCGCGUGUGUGAAGAAGGCCCUCGGGUUGUAAAGCACUUUCAGCGAGGAAGAAUGCUUGUCGGUUAAUACCCGGCAAGGGAGACAUCACUCGCAGAAGAAGCACCGGCUAACUCCGUGCCAGCAGCCGCGGUAAUACGGAGGGUGCGAGCGUUAAUCGGAAUUACUGGGCGUAAAGCGUGCGUAGGCGGCUUGAUAAGCCGGUUGUGAAAGCCCCGGGCUCAACCUGGGAACGGCAUCCGGAACUGUUAGGCUAGAGUGCAGGAGAGGAAGGUAGAAUUCCCGGUGUAGCGGUGAAAUGCGUAGAGAUCGGGAGGAAUACCAGUGGCGAAGGCGGCCUUCUGGACUGACACUGACGCUGAGGUACGAAAGCGUGGGUAGCAAACAGGAUUAGAUACCCUGGUAGUCCACGCCGUAAACGAUGUCGACUAGCCGUUGGGGUCCUCGAGACCUUUGUGGCGCAGUUAACGCACUAAGUCGACCGCCUGGGGAGUACGGCCGCAAGGUUAAAACUCAAAUGAAUUGACGGGGGCCCGCACAAGCGGUGGAGCAUGUNGUUUAAUUCGAUGCAACGCGAGAACCUUACCUACCCUUGACAUUCGUGCGAACUUUCCAGAGAUGGAUUGGUGCCUUCAGGAGCGCACAGAACAGGUGCUG